UUGACCUCGGAUCAGGUAGGAAUACCCGCUGAACUUAAGCAUAUCAAUAAGCGGAGGAAAAGAAACCAACAGGGAUUGCCCUAGUAACGGCGAGUGAAGCGGCAACAGCUCAAAUUUGAAAUCUGGCUCUCGGGCCCGAGUUGUAAUUUGUAGAGGAUGCUUUUGGCAAGGUGCCUUCCGAGUUCCCUGGAACGGGACGCCAUAGAGGGUGAGAGCCCCGUCUGGUUGGACACCGAGCCUCUGUAAAGCUCCUUCGACGAGUCGAGUAGUUUGGGAAUGCUGCUCUAAAUGGGAGGUAUAUGUCUUCUAAAGCUAAAUACUGGCCAGAGACCGAUAGCGCACAAGUAGAGUGAUCGAAAGAUGAAAAGCACUUUGAAAAGAGAGUUAAAAAGCACGUGAAAUUGUUGAAAGGGAAGCGCUUAUGACCAGACUUGGGCUUGGUUGAUCAUCCGGCGUUCUCGCCGGUGCACUCUUCCAGUUCAGGCCAGCAUCAGUUUGCCUCGGGGGAUAAAANUA
rnacentral:rRNA from 1 species